rnacentral:rRNA from 1 species
AGCAGCCGCGGUAAUUCCAGCUCCAAUAGCGUAUAUUAAAGUUGUUGCAGUUAAAAAGCUCGUAGUUGAAUUUCGGGGUUUUACCGUUGGUCGGGCUAUCCAGUCUGUACUAGCGUGUAGAAUUCCUACCUUCUGGGGAACCAUCAUGUUAUUAAUUUAGCGUGAUGGGAAACCAAGACCUUUACCUUGAAAAAUUAGAGUGUUCAAAGCAGGCUUACAGUCUGAAUACAUUAGCAUGGAAUAAUAAAAUAGGACGGUGGUCCUGUUUUGUUGGUUUCUGAAUCACCGUAAUGAUUAAUAGGGAUAGUUGGGGGCAUUAGUAUUCAAUUGUCAGAGGUGAAAUUCUUGGAUUUAUUGAAGACUAACUUCUGCGAAAGCAUUUGCCAAGGAUGUUUUCAUUAAUCAAGAACGAAAGUUAGGGGAUCGAAGACGAUCAGAUACCGUCGUAGU